GCUCUGUUAGCUCUGUUGGUAGGGCGUCAGUUUUCAAAACUGAAGGUCGACGGUUCUCUCCGUCAGAGAGCU
rnacentral:tRNA from 1 species